GUGAAUCAUCGAAUUUUUGAACGCACGUUGCACUCUCUGGUAUUCCGGGGAGUAUGCCUGUUUGAGGGUCAGUUAAAUAAACAUCGGUGUGGUUGCUGCUUUUCGUGGUGACGCACCGGGUUUGGGUCGUCUUGCCUUCGGUUAAGUGACCUAGAGUUUUGCAUGAGUUUUUCGGACGUAUUUAAAUUAUUUUACGUACGUUUGCGAUAUCGAAUAAUCGGUGUGGUAAUCCUCAUGAUUCGCGC
rnacentral:misc_RNA from 1 species